UUUCACUUUCUUCUGCUGCUCUUCCCCCUCCUCUUCUUGCCUCCCCUGUCCCAUACCCACCUCCUUCCCAUGUGCCCAGGUCACGGUGAAGAGAGCCAAGGGCAAGGCCGGGGGACAAGUGUGCAAAAUAAAUGAAGUUUCAGGAGAUUGCUGCCCAGAGCAGGGCACUGCCCACUCAGACACAACCUGAACCCACAGGAUCCGACGGAAGUGAGAGCUCACGGUGGCUGGAGGCCAUUCAGAGUCCAGGCAGCCCGAAGCCCCCACCCCCAUGUGCCCACCCAGCCCCUUGCCCAGCCUUGGCUGUUCUGGAACUCACUGAGAUCCCCCGCCUCUCGGGCUGACGUUAAAGGCCUGCGC